UUGCUGUGAUGAAGGUGACUCCAAAGCCAUUCGUAGUUUCCACCAGAAGUCGAAAGGCUGAUGUUGGUCCAAGUUCCUUCCUUGGAAGUCUGAGCGA
rnacentral:snoRNA from 1 species